rnacentral:tRNA from 1 species
UCCCUGGUAGCUGAGCUGGUAAAGAAUCAGCCUGAAAUGCGGGAGACCUGGGUUAGAUUCCUGGGUUGGGAA